GGGCGUAUGGUCUAGUGGUAUGAUUUCUGUUUUGCAACGCCUCAAAAUGCUUGCUCCUACAGACGGUCCCGCGUUCGAUCCGCGGUACGUCCA